GACCCGAUCUGUCGGAGAUGGCAGCGAGGCCAGAACCAGCAUCCGAAUUAGCGUGAAGUGUUUCCAUUGUGCGAGGCACAAUGAGGACCAUAUGUCAAGGCCGGGGCCCGCAGCCGGGAACAAACAGGCCCUGAGGAGGUUUGGGAGCUGCUGCGUGGAGCUUGCACUGCCCUAUCCCAUUGUCACCUCCCAGAGAGAGGAUGGAGAUGGGAUGGAGAUGGGAUGGAGAUGGGAUGGAGAUGGCCGCCCAGCAUGAGCAUCCCUGUGCGGAGGCUGGGUCUGGAUGCAGGCAGCGGGUACAUGGGGCAUCCCAAGGGGUGAUCACUGGGGAGAAACCCCUGUGCUGGGACAAAAAGGGAACCUGGGAGCGCUGAGGUCCCUCUCCGUGCCCCAUCGGAGCUAUUGCCCGGUGCAAAGUCCCCUCCCUCCUUCCCUUCUCCCUCCCCCUGUUUAUUCUCUCCCUUUGAGGCAGCUCUGCUGAGCCGAGGCCAAUUGAUUAGAGGCAGAAAUUUGGAGCAAGCGGCGGAGCAGCUGCAGCCCUGCCCCUGGGGAUGCCCCGCAUCCGCGCAGACAAAGGACACGAGCCGCAAACCUGCUUCCCAGCGCAGCUCGGGGUGGGCUGAGGGA